GACGAACGCUGGCGGCGUGCCUAAUACAUGCAAGUAGAACGCUGAAGCGAGGCGCUUGCUCUUCUUUGGUGAGUUGCGAACGUGUGAGUAACGCGUAGGUAACCUGCCUUGUAGCGGGGGAUCACUAUUGGAAACGAUCGCUAAUACCGCAUAACAUUCGGUUGCACAUGUCGUUUAUUUGAAAGUGGCCAUUGCUGCACUACAAGAUGGACCUUCGUUGUAUUAGCUAGUAGGUGAGGUAACGGCUCACCUAGGCGACGAUACAUAGCCGCACUGAGAGGACGAGUAGCCAGACUGAGAGGGAGACAGGCCCCAGAGUCACACAGGAGGCAGCAGUAGGGAAUCGGGGGCAAUGGGGGGGAAACAGACCGAGCAGCGCGGCGUGAGGGAGGAAGGUCGCCGGAUCGUAAAGGACUGUUGUAAGUCAGGAAAGAGUGUGAGAGUGGAAAGUACACAGAGUGACGGUAGCUGACCAGAAAGCGACGGCUAACUACGUG
rnacentral:rRNA from 1 species